CUUAUUGUGAUAUGCAUGGUGCACAGUUAUGGCCUUUUGACCCAUAGGUUAGUGGUUUUUGGUUUUGAAAUACGGCUUGCAUGUCGUGCCUUCUAUAAAUUCUAAUGUAAUAUUCUCUUCUCAUCUAAAUCCCCUCGAAUGUAACUCGAGGUUUCUUUAUGUCAUGUAAUAAUCUGUAAUUGAUGAAGAUGUCAAGAUGGAGAACACAAUGGAAAGAUGAUGAUGGAGAGGAGGCGCAUGCUAGAGGAAGAUCCAAGGAAGUUAUUUAUUUUAAGAUCUUUUACCACCUUAGAUUGACCUUCAAUCUUUCAUU
rnacentral:lncRNA from 1 species